GGUGGGACAUUUAAAGACGUAUCGUAUCCGUUUCUGAUACGUUGACGUAUCUGAAGAUAUAUAUGUGUUAUUGUUUAAUAAAUUAUUUUGAUGUUUAAAUAUGUGUUUUCUAUGUUAGAUAUCUUUCUGUCAUUGAUACCUAUUGAUACUCUUUUUAUAACAUGAUAGUUUUCAAUUUAUGAAUACUAGUACUCGUUUAUAUCUAAACACUCGAUAUUUAAUCCAUCACCACUUCGCCAUCUUGAAUUUAAGUUCUCUGUGUAUUACGAAAUUUUCGCUUGAAGUGCAAUAAAAUCAAAACAGCAAAGUAUCAUAGAGAGUUGCCAUAUUGUGCAUCUAUACAGGGGAAACUUCGUUCAGGAAAUCCGGACUUUGUGGCUAAUAUAGUUAAUAUCUACAGAUUUGAAUAAAGAGAUUUUAUUAUUAAUUUCUAGACAUAGUUUAGUGACUACUCACUUUCUUUGAUGUGCUAGCGUUUAUUGUUUACAAAAAGUCACUAACAACCGUUCAAAAACAAAACUCGUAUAAAGUCACAAAAGUCGAGCGCACCCUAGAAGGUGUACUUUGCUAC
rnacentral:lncRNA from 1 species